UUGGAGGGCAAGUCUGGUGCCAGCAGCCGCGGUAAUUCCAGCUCCAAUAGCGUAUAUUAAAGUUGUUGCAGUUAAAAAGCUCGUAGUUGAAUUUCGGGGUCAGUAGAUUGGUCAUGCCACUGGUAUGUACUGGUCUUACUGGCUCCUCCUUCCUGAUGAACCGUAAUGCCAUUAAUUUGGUGUUGCGGGGAGACUGGACUGUUACUUUGAAAAAAUUAGAGUGUUUAAAGCAGGCUAACGCUUGAAUACAUUAGCAUGGAAUAAUGAAAUAGGACGUUCGAUCUUAUUUUGUUGGUUUCUAGGAUUGACGUAAUGAUUAAUAGGGAUAGUUGGGGGCAUUAGUAUUCAAUUGUCAGAGGUGAAAUUCUUGGAUUUAUUGAAGACUAACUACUGCGAAAGCAUUUGCCAAGGAUGUUUUCAUUAAUCAAGAACGAAAGUUAGGGGAUCGAAGACGAUCAGAUACCGUCGUAGUCUUAACCAUAAACUAUGCCGACUAGGGAUCGGAUGAUGUUAAUUUUUUAAUGACUCAUUCGGCGCCUUACGGGAAA
rnacentral:rRNA from 1 species